UCCUCUUUUCCAUUACCGUGCGUGAGAGCAGAGAAGCAACGAAAAUACCUCCCUCACGAUCGAAGACCUGCUACCUUCUUCCUCAACAAUCGACCACCACCCGCUACCUAGAACACCAGAUUUCAUAACCAUUUGAACCCCCUCACCUCCCUCUUCAACCUCUUGUCAUCACCUGGCCACGGAGUUGCCCAAAAUAGCCCCAAUCACCACCCAAAAUCGCGCUAUUAGUCACGAUUUUCGCCAUAUUUCCACCGUCGUCGGCCACCGUUUCGAGCGCGGACCACCACCACUCCACUCCUCCCAACCAGGCGCAUCCAGUACCAACAUAUGUCACCUGCAAUUUUGUCCAGAUUCGAGCGAGAUUGUGAAAGUAGUCUUGUGUGGCAGAUUCGGUCCCAACAAAAUUGAUGAAAUUUUGUUGAUGCAAACAAUCAAUUUUGCUUUCCAAACAUCAAGAUGGUGGUGACGAUGGAUUUGAUGAUGAUUUUGACAAGAUAUAGCUUGGUAAGUGUAGCGUGUUACUUGCAUCUGUGGCUCUGUGUGUGUGCAUGCGUGUGUCGUGGGAUGGGGCCUCUCUAGUGUUCUCAGAAAUUUCAUUUUGUUUUAUUGAAAUUUGCAAAUGAAACCAACAAAAAAAUUGUUGCCUCUUAACUUUCAUUAGUUUUGCUGGCUUUAUGAACUGAUGUUUGAUUACCAAAUUCCAGUUGCAAAAAGAGCCAAAUUUUGUAUAUACAGUGGAUAUGGUUAGGUUGCAGAAAGAACCAAAUUUUGGUGAUGUGCAACUCAAUAUAGAUGGGAUUGUUUCGCAUUUGUACAUACAAAUGUAUUAUUUGCCUCAAAAGGACUAUAGACUUUUGAUGUAAUUUGUACGCUUGAGGUUUCAAUCAAGACAAGUUUUACAUUUCACGAA